UACAGAGGUCUCGAGCGUUAUUCGGAAUCACUGGGCUUAAAGCGUCUGUAGGUGGCUUUUCAAGUCCGCCGUCAAAUCCCAGGGCUCAACCCUGGACAGGCGGUGGAAACUGCCAAGCUGGAGUACGGUAGGGGCAGAGGGAAUUUCCGGUGGAGCGGUGAAAUGCGUAGAGAUCGGAAAGAACACCAACGGCGAAAGCACUCUGCUGGGCCGACACUGACACUGAGAGACGAAAGCUAGGGGAGCGAAUGGG
rnacentral:rRNA from 1 species